rnacentral:lncRNA from 1 species
CAGCUUACCGUUCACUAUUACACACCUCCUUCAUCCAGCGCUGAUUAACAUGCCGAUUGCCAACAUGUGGAAAGCCAGACUCCCAAGCAAAUUUGACACCACCCAUCUCGUAGCCAAUCAAUGUUGUCGUAAAGAAAGAGAUCUAUACACUAUCAUCAGGACACCCUGUGCCCAGUUUAUACUUUUUCAAAACUUGAACCCAAAAAGCAUUCCUAUUAAAGCCUAAUUUUAGCUACAUUUUGUUCCCUAAGUUUGCGAGCUGUCAACAAGUUUCCCAACCAACUAGCUGAAUCUUUCGAUGCUCAUUUGUACAACCUUUUAACAAAAUUCCUUAUUAUCUUUGCAAUUUCUCAACAGAUGUCCACCGGAAUUCAAGGCAACUACAUGAAAUAAUUGGGAAUAACUAAGAGGAUCGACCUCGCCAAGGUAACUCCACCAUCCUACCCAUUAAACCAUUUAUCAACUUCAUCCAUCAUUAACCGAUAUGUCUGCUUGGUUACCCUUUAGUGAAAUAAGGGUAUCCCAAGAUAUUUCUCUACAUCCUCCACUACUUUGAACCCCAACUUGGACCUAAUUUGCAUUUCCCUACACUCGGUCAUGUUUGGGGAACAAUAAAUUUGGUACUUUCUAGC